rnacentral:rRNA from 1 species
UGGUGGAGUGAUUUGUCUGGUUAAUUCCGUUAACGAACGAGACCUUAGCCUGCUAAAUAGUACCGCGAAACCUUGGUUUUGUGGCUUACUUCUUAGAGGGACUUCGUGUGUUUAACACGGGGAAGUUUGAGGCAAUAACA